rnacentral:rRNA from 1 species
AUGACUUUAUUUAGUGAUGAAUCCACUAUUUCGGAAGAGGUUCCAAUUGAUUAUGAGAACAAAGUUGCUAUCUAUGAUGAUUAUUGUGAUGACUUGUAUUCUAUUAAGAAUAAUGAUAACCAUGAAACUUGUCAUCAUGAUUUUAGUUUUCAAUUGGAUUAUGCCUCACAUGAUAAUUAUUUUGUUGAGUUUGCUCCCACUAUUAUUCAUGAGAAGAAAUUCGCUUAUGUGGAGAGUAAUAAAAUUUAUAUGCUUGGGGAUCAUGAAAAGAAUGCUUUGUGUGAUGGUUAUAUUGUUGAAUUCAUUCAUGAUGCUACUGAAAAUUAUUAUGAGGGAGGAAUAUAUGCUUGUAGGAAUUGCAAUAAUAUCAAGUUUCCUCUCUAUGUGCUUAAAGUUUUAAAGUUAUGCUUGUUUUGCCUUCCUAUGCUAGUUGAUUAUUGUUCCCAUAAGUUGUUUGUUCACUAG